CGCGGAGGGGGGGGGGGAGAGAGGAGGAGGAGGAGGAGGAGGCGGCGGCGGGCGCCGCGCUGCCGCUGACGGAGGAGGAGGAGGAGGAGGAGGAAGCGGGAGCGAGCGAGCGAAGGCCGCGGCGGGGGGAGCCCGGGAGGAAGAAAAGCCGCGGCGGAGAGGGAGCCCGCCGCCGCCCGGCAGCCGGCCCGCCAUCCAGGGGCCCCCCCCGGAGGGGAUGGUGUCGUCCGCCGCCGCCGCCGCCGCCGCGGGGGGAGGCAGCCGGCGGCGCUGAGGGCGGCAGGGCCCCGCGGCGGAAGAGGCGGAGGGCGGCGAGGAGGAGGAGGCGGCGAAGGAGGAGGCGGCGGGCGGCGAGCGGCGGCCGGCAGCGCUGCGAGGGGGGAGGCGGCGGCGGCAGCGGCCGGGAGCCGGGGCAGGGGCGGCGGGCUCGCCCCGCGCCGCACAGCAUGGUCCGGGAAACCAGGCACCUCUGGGUGGGCAACUUGCCGGAGAACGUGCGUGAGGAGAAGAUCAUCGAGCACUUCAAGCGAUAUGGACGUGUCGAAAGCGUCAAAAUCCUCCCCAAGAGGGGGUCGGAAGGCGGAGUGGCAGCAUUUGUGGAUUUCGUGGACAUCAAAAGUGCGCAGAAGGCACACAACUCUGUCAACAAAAUGGGAGAUAGAGACCUACGGACGGAUUAUAAUGAGCCAGGAACCAUUCCCAGUGCUGCUCGGGGAUUGGAUGAUACAGUUUCCAUAGCAUCUCGUAGUAGAGAGGUUUCUGGGUUCAGAGGAGGUGGUGGGGGGCCCACUUACGGCCCCCCACCAUCGCUUCAUGCACGGGAAGGACGUUAUGAGCGGAGACUUGAUGGGGCUUCAGAUAACAGGGAGCGUGCUUAUGAACAUAGUGCCUAUGGACACCAUGAGCGGGGGACGGGAGGAUUUGAUCGGACGAGACAUUACGAUCAGGAUUACUAUAGAGACCCUCGCGAGCGGACUUUACAACAUGGGCUCUAUUACACUUCUCGGAGUCGAAGUCCAAACCGUUUUGAUGCUCAUGACCCCCGUUACGAACCUAGGGCCCGGGAGCAGUUUACAUUGCCCAGCGUGGUACACAGGGAUAUCUACAGGGAUGAGAUUACGCGGGAGGUACGAGGCAGAAGGCCGGAGAGGAAUUACCAGCACAGCAGGAGUCGGUCGCCGCAUUCGUCCCAGUCCAGGACCCAGUCCCCGCAGCGGCUGGCCAGCCAGGCGUCCCGGCCCACCCGCUCCCCCAGCGGCAGCGGGUCUCGCAGCAGAUCUUCCAGCAGUGACUCCAUCAGCAGCAGCAGCAGUACCAGCAGCGACAGCAGUGACUCCAGCAGCAGCUCCAGCGACGAGUCCCCAGCGCGGUCGGUUCAGUCGACAGCUGUCCCAGCCCCUGCCUCCCAGCUGCUUCCAUCUCUGGAGAAGGAUGAACCCCGGAAAAGUUUUGGGAUCAAGGUUCAAAAUCUUCCAGUGCGCUCAACAGAUACAAGCCUUAAGGAUGGACUUUUCCACGAGUUCAAGAAGUACGGCAAGGUGACGUCGGUGCAGAUCCAUGGGGCUUCUGAGGAGCGCUACGGCCUCGUGUUCUUCCGGCAGCAGGAGGACCAGGAAAAAGCACUAAAUGCCUCCAAAGGAAAACUUUUCUUUGGCAUGCAGAUUGAGGUCACAGCCUGGAUAGGACCAGAAACAGAAAGUGAGAAUGAAUUUCGUCCUCUGGAUGAAAGGAUAGAUGAGUUUCACCCCAAAGCAACGAGGACUCUCUUCAUUGGCAACCUGGAGAAGACAACCACCUACCACGACCUUCGCAACAUCUUCCAGCGCUUUGGUGGAAUAGUGGAUAUCGACAUCAAGAAGGUGAACGGUGUCCCCCAGUAUGCCUUCCUGCAGUACUGCGACAUCGCCAGCGUCUGCAAAGCCAUUAAGAAGAUGGAUGGGGAGUACCUGGGAAACAACCGGCUCAAGCUGGGGUUUGGAAAGAGCAUGCCUACAAACUGCGUGUGGUUAGAUGGUCUCUCUACCAACGUCACGGAUCAGUAUUUAACUCGCCAUUUCUGCCGCUACGGGCCUGUGGUGAAGGUGGUGUUUGACCGCUUAAAAGGCAUGGCCCUGGUUCUCUACAACGAGAUUGAAUAUGCACAAGCAGCUGUAAAAGAGACCAAGGGGAGGAAAAUCGGUGGGAAUAAAAUUAAGGUGGACUUUGCAAACCGAGAAAGUCAGUUGGCAUUUUAUCAUUCCAUGGAGAAAACGGGUCAGGAUAUCAGAGACUUCUAUGAAAUGCUGGCAGAAAGAAGCAGAGAUGAGCGAAGAGGAUCUUACGAGUACGCCCCUGACCGCACCUACUACGAGACCGUUCGGACCCCGGGGACGUACCCUGAAGAUCCUCGUCGCGAAUACCCAGCUCGAGGCAGGGAGUUCUACGCCGAGUGGGAUCCCUACCAAGGAGACUACUAUGACCCACGCUACUACGACGACCCACGGGAGUACAGGGAUUAUCGAGGCGAUCCGUACGAGCAGGACAUAAGGGAGUACAGUUACAGGCAGCGGGAGAGAGAGAGGGAGAGGGAACGGUUUGAAUCCGACCGGGACAGAGACCACGAGCGGAGACCGAUCGAACGGAGCCAGAGUCCGACUCACUCCAGGCGCCCUCAGAGCCCUGGAGCAUCCCCCUCACAGUCAGAGAGGCUGCAGAGCGAUUCGGAGAGGAGGAUUUACAGCAGGUCAUCAGACCGCAGCGGCAGCUGCAGCUCUCUGUCUCCUCCACGAUACGACAAGCUGGAGAAGGCCCGCGUGGAACGGUACACAAAAAACGAGAAAGCGGAGAAGGAGCGAGUGUUCGAGCAGGAGAGGGUGGACAAGGAGAAGCGCUUGGUCAGAAAGGAAAAGCCAGAAAAAGUGGAAAAGGAGAAAAUCGAUAAACAGAAACGGAAAGCAAAAAUCCAUUCCCCCAGCUCUCAGUCUUCGGAGACAGAUCAAGAGAAUGAGCGAGAGCCCAGCCCUGAGAAACUGAAGGGCAAUAGUAAACAAAGCAAAGAGAGAGGCGACAAAGAAGGGACGGCGAAAAACCGCCUGGAGCUAAUGCCCUGCGUCGUGCUGACCCGAGUGAAGGAGAAGGAAGGGAAGGUUAUCGACCAGCCUGCUUUGGAGAAGCUGAGAGCAAAGCUUGAUAAUGACACUAUGAAGUCCCCGCUUCUGGAGCAGAAAACGCAGGCGUCUCAAGCUGAGCAAACCAAGUCUGAGCAGUCUAAACUGGAACCUGUCAGAACCAAGGUACAGAAAGAGAAGGCCCUUGCCAGUCACGUUGAAGUAGUGGAUAAGGAGGGAAAACUGAAACCCAAAAAGCAUUUGAAGACCGAGCAAACUUCUGAGGGGGCCAAUGCUGUAGACUUAGACAAGUUGGAGGCGCGUAAGAGGCGUUUUGCUGAUGCAAAUCUGAAGCCUGACAGACAAAAACUGGAAGUGAAAAGGAGCAGCCAAGAUGAGGAGGAUGCGCGUGUGGGUUUGAAGAAGCAGCUGGAUGCGACGGCCUCCUCUCGGGAAACGACGAUGUUAAGGGAAGGUGAGCUGGAGAGAAAACCCCUGAGGAAGGAGAUGCUUAAAAGGGAAUCUAAAAAACUCAAACUAGACAGACUUGUUCCUGUUGCUAGUCCCAAAGAAAUUCAGGAGACUCUUAAUGUUGGUGGGAUCGCUGUGCGUCCUACCUUGGAUCUGCAGGCAAGGAUCAUGGAGGCAGCUGAGGAACCAGUGGAAGUUCAGGAACUCUCCUCUAAAAAACUGAAUCCAGUGAAACCCCAACAUAAACAGGUGCAGCUGCUAGAUGACCAAGGGACAGAGAGAGAGGAUGCAAGGAAGAACUACUCUGCUCUUGCGGAAGACACACCCGACCAUAAAGCUGGCCAAGAGAAACCUCAGCCAGCUGACACGGAGGAGAAGAUCGGCAUCGAUAUUGACCACACACAGAGCUACAGGAAACAAAUGGAGCAAAGCCGCAGGUUAAAGCAGCAGCUGGAAAUGGAGAUAGCCAAGUCUGAGAAGUUUGGCAGUCCAAAGAAAGAUGUUGAUGAGUACGAAAGGAGGAGCUUGGUCCACGAGGUGGGAAAGCCUCCACAAGAUGUCACAGAUGAUUCUCCACCAAGUAAAAGGAAAAAGACUGACCAGUUUGACUUUGAAAUCAGCACUAAAAGAGAAAGGAACUACAGAAGUUCUCGUCAGGUGAGCGAAGACUCUGAAAGGACCUCCUGUUCCCCUAGCAUCAGACACUUCCCUUUCCACGAAGACGAUGACAUGCUCGAUUCUCCGAGGCUAAUGCCAUUAAAGGAAACCAAAGAGUCACCUAAAAUAGAAGAAAAGGGUCUGUCGUACUCCAACAUGACUGUGAGGGAGGACUCGCUGAAAUUCAAUCCUUACGAUUCCAGCAGAAGGGAGCAGAUGGCAGAAAUGGCUAAAAUAAAACUCUCGGUGCUGAGCUCUGAAGAUGACUCGAGUAGGUGGGAAACACAAGGCAAGCAGGAGCCUGGCAGAGUCGAUAUCAGCUUCCCAAGCAGCAUCGUCAAAAGAGACAGCAUCCGCAAGCGCUCAGUGCGGGAUCUGGAGCCCGGCGAGGUGCCUUCAGACUCGGAUGAUGAUGGUGAGAACAAGCCCCAUUCCCCAAAAGCCUCGUCCUUGUUAGAGAGCUCCAGGUUGUCUUUUUUAUUAAGAGACAGAGAAGAGAAAUUACGUGAGAGAGAGGAACGACUGUCAAGCUCCUUAGAAAGAAACAAGUUUUACUCCUUUGCAUUGGACAAGACAAUCACACCAGACACAAAGGCCUUGCUUGAAAGAGCUAAAUCUCUCUCUUCCUCUAGAGAGGAAAAUUGGUCCUUUCUAGACUGGGAUUCGCGAUUCGCGAGCUUUCGAAACAAUAAAGACAAAGAGAAGGUUGACUCAGCCCCGAGACCUAUUCCAUCUUGGUAUAUGAAAAAGAAAAAAAUUAGGACUGAUUCAGAAGGUGGAAAACUGGAUGAUAAGAAAGAAGACCAUAAAGAGGAGGAACAAGAGAGGCAGGAACUGUUUGCAUCUCGGUUUUUGCAUAGCUCAAUCUUUGAACAGGACUCCAAACGCCUGCAGCAUUUGGAGAGGAAAGAUGAUGAGCUGGACUUCAUUUCUGGGAGGCUGUAUGGGAGACAGUCUUCCUCUGACGGGACUAACAGUGCAGCUGACCUGGUGCAGGAGCCUGUGGUUCUUUUCCACAGCAGGUUUAUUGAACUGACACGAAUGCAGCAGAAAGAAAAGGAGAAAGAUCAGAAACCAAAAGAAGUGGAAAAACAGGAGGAUAAAGAAAACCGACCCAAAACACCAGAAACAGUUCCUGAUAGUAAAGAACCAGAGCAUAAAACUUCUUCAGUGGUUGGUCCCUCUUCAGUCGCUGUCCUGCCACAGGAACCAGCACCAGUCACUUCUGAGAAGGUAGUGAAUGAGAAGGUGGUGGUGGAAACAGCUUCUGUAAAAGAAGAAAAACCAUCUGAACCUGUUGCUGCUGCAGAGGAACCAAAAGCUUUGCCUGAACUUGCUGCUCCUAUCAAAAGUGAACCACCCGAGCAAACUGAAGCCCCACCAGCCAUAGAAGCUAGUAAAGAAGCAGUCACUACAACCCUGGCACCGGAGGAAGAUGCUGUGGCAAUGGAGCAUCCUUCAUACUUGGAUACCAAGCCUCCUACUCCUGGGUCUUCAUUUUCCAAAGCUGAAGAUGGUGUAGACCCAGAACCUGAAGGUGUCCAGCUGAUUGCACCUCUGUCCAAGCUUGUUCAGAAACCUGAUGAUGCUGCUGAGCCAAAAGAAGAAAAUCCUCCACCUCCCUCCAACGCUGAUGCCAGUGUGAGUCAAAAGGUAGAGGCAGCUGCCGAGGUCCCCCCACCCAUGUCUGACAAUGAUAUGGAAGUGGAAGCUCCAGUGGUUGCCAAGGAUAAGAAGUCUUACAAGAGCAAACGCUCCAAGACUCCUGUGCAGUCGGCUGUGGCUAGUGUCCCGGAGAAGCCUGUCACAAGGAAGAGCGAAAGAAUUGACCGUGAAAAGCUGAAAAGGUCAAGCUCUCCUCGAGGGGAGAUGCAGAAACUCUCUGAGUUGAAAGUAGAGGUGGAGAAGGUCUCGAGAAACGCUGCUAAAUCCCCCAGUUCCGCUGCAGAGCCUGAAAACGUGGAGCCAAGUUUGCCAAUAGGCCGGACCAGGCGCAGAAACGUCAGGUCAGUCUACGCUACCACGGGGGAUAACGAAGGUCCGUCUCCGGUGAAGGACUCCAUGGAGGUCACUAGAUCCACCAGAAAGAGAGGGGAAAAGGAUCCACAGGAAACAGUGGCAGCUGUUCCAACGACCCCAAGGAGGGGAAGACCUCCAAAAACCCGCCGCAAGCCGGAGGAGGACAUCUCUCCAAUAAAAACAGAAGCAGUACAGCAAGAAGUGGAGGAGGCUGAAGUUAAAGACGCUGUGGAAGCUCCAAAGCCUACAGAAGGCUGGAGGUCUCCCAGAUCCCAGAAACUAACACAGGGUUACUCAUCAACUGCUACCAGCCAACAGGGGAAGAAAGGGAAGAACGAACCAAAAGCAGAUACCUCAGCUGAAUCUGAAGAUGCUGCUGAAAGGAGUGGACAGGAAUUGGGUGUUGGUGACAAUGGCAAUAAAGCCAAAGUCACGGAGAAAGAGCCGGUGGUGAGUGAGCAGAAGCGCGACAGGAAAGAACUGGAUGUGGAGAAGAACCAGCUAGAAAUCCCCACGGCUGAGGUCAUCGAGAAGAAACCGGUGCCAGAAAAGGUUACAAAAUCCAAAAGGGGAAGGUAUAAAAACACCAAAACAGUUGUAGAUAAAGCCUCUGUCUGCCUCAAGAACGUGGAGAUCCGCCUCAAUGUGGACGAGGUCAAAGGCGCCUUGCGGCCAGCUGAUGAGGAUGCAGAGCCAGUGGCAGUGUCACCGGCUAAAAUGAAGAGCCCUCAGAAGGAGGACAUCUUGCCACCCCAUUUUGUUAAGAACGAGGUGGAAGAUUCGUUCCCAGAAACAGAGAAGGAGGUGCUGCGGGAAGCAAAACAGUCCCCUGAAGCCGCCCAGUUAGCAAAACAGAUUGAACUGGAGCAGGCUGUGGAGAACAUCGCAAAGCUCACCGAAACCCCACCAUCGAUGGCUGCCUACAAAGAGCCAGCGGCAGAUGUGUCUGAAGUGCGUCAGGAGGAGGAGGGAGAUAAACCUGCACACCAGGCCAGCGAGACAGAGCUGGCAGCAGCCAUCGGCUCCAUCAUCAAUGAUAUCUCUGGGGAGACAGAAAGCUUUCCUGCACCCCCAACGUAUCCUGCUGAAUCUGAGGCUGAAAUGCCCGCAGAGCCCUUGGUGCUGCCAUCCCCUCGGGAAGAGAUGGAACCUGAGACGGAUCAAGCAGUGAAUAAUAUCCUGGAGACUGAGGCUGCCGUGGAGCCUGCAGUGCAACCGGUUCCCAGCUCUGCCCCGUCGGCAGUGGAGGUGGAGAGCAAGGAGGCCGAAGUCAGCUUCAGUGAAUCUUCUAACUCUGCGCAGGAGGCUGAGACCUUGCAAGAGGCUGAAGUUGCGCGGAAGGAAAAGGGACGGCAAAAAACCACGCGGCAGAGGCGCAAAAGGAGCACGGGCAGGAAGGGUGACAUUGUCGAAGUCAACACCUUCGAGACGGAGAGGGUACAGAGCAAGUCACCCCCUGUCAACGAAGUCAAGACAAAGCCUGAAGAAGCCUCAAAGGAAGAAAAGCCAACUAAGGUGGCAGCUCAGGUGUCUGUGGAGCCAAGUGCUUCAGAUGCCAGCAAGGCUGCAGCUGCUGAUGUUGUUGUGGCUGCGCAUGAAGCCAUUGCUGAGACUGGCAGCUCUCCGAAGGCGCCCACUCCAGCUCCUCUGGACUUGGUCACCCCACCGGUUCCUCUUGACGAGGGGAGUCAGAGUGGGUUCAAGAUACGGUCACCCUUGGAGAACACACCCAUCACACCACCAAGUGCCCCAAACGCAGCCCUUCCUCCCAUCCCUGCGGCCAAGCUGCCCACCCCGGUGCCCACAGCCAUCGUCCCCCUCCAUGCUGGCGCUGCUAAGGUGCCAGAGUGGAUGGUGAGACACGAGGAGCCCCGUGCCCGUUCCACACCCCCACCUGCUCUUCCGCCGGACACGAAGGCGUCAGAUAUCGAUACAAACUCCAGCACCUUGAGGAAGAUACUGAUGGAGCCCAAGUAUGUCUCGGCAACGAGCAUAACCUCCACGCACGUCACAACGGCACACGCUGAGCCAGUGAGUGCACCGUCUUUGGAGGAGGCACCCCUCCACCCCGCUGUAGAGGCCAUCAAGCCAGUGUCAGAGGAGAAGCCAGCAGUUCCCAUCACCAACGCCUUGGAUCCGCCGGUGGCCGAAGCGCCGGUGUUCACCGAGAAGGAAAAGAUCAGCACUGUGAUCGCUCCCAAAGCCACUUCGGUUAUAAGCAGGAUGCCCCACAGUGUAGAUCUGGAGGAGGCUCCCAGGAUCACCUUGGUGAAACAAGCUCCCCAAACCCAGACGUGUCUGGUUAAUGCCCCCUCGCCCAAAUUUAAGCAGAGGUCAAGCACAAAUGAUAACAGCAGGUUUCAUCCGGGGUCGAUGUCUAUCAUUGAGGAGAGACCUGUGGAGACUGGGUCCAGCCCGGGGCUGCGAGUGAACACCUCAGAAGGUGUGGUGCUGCUGAGUUACUCAGGCCAGAAGACAGAAGGCCCCCAGCGUAUUAGUGCCAAGAUCAGCCAGAUUCCCCCAGCCAGUGCUGUGGACAUAGAGUUCCAGCAGUCUGUGUCCAAGUCUCAGAUUAAGCAGGAGCCCAUCACACCAUCCCAGCCAACACCAAAGGGCUCCCAGACCUCGGCAGCCUAUGGGACUGUUUCCACCCAUUCCUCCUUGGUACUAGGAUCACAACCUUACAAUACGUCACCUGUCAUCUCCUCUGUCAAACAAGAGCGCACCGUGCUGGAGAAGCCUGAUGCCUCCCACCUCUCUGUCCAGCCUCCAUCCUCUCAGCCCGGCAAGGUCCUCACGCAGGCUGUCAACACUCCACCUGUGCUCGUCCAUAGCCAGAUGGUCGUGAACAAAAAACUGUCCGAUCCAGCUGCUCUCAAAGUGGAGACCAAGACUCUGCAACCUUCCAGCCUGAGCCCUGGACUGAGUCCUCACCACCCUUCCCUCUCAGGGAAGAUGCAUUCAGAGGCCAACCACAUCAGCUCGGGACCCAGCACCCCAACCGACCGGGCAAUUUCCCACUUAGGGGUCACCAAGCAGGAGCCGCACUCGCCGCGUACCAGCGGGCACUCACCGUCGCCGUUCCCCCGCACUUGCCAUCCUGGCAGCACCUCGUCUCCAGCUUUAUCGAGCAGUACCCCGGUCAUGCUGGCACCGGGCAUUCCCGUGCCCCAGUACAUAUCCAGCAUGCAUCCUGAGCAAUCUGUGAUCAUGCCCCCUCACAGCGUAACGCAGACUGUGUCCUUGGGCCAUCUCUCCCAAGGCGAGGUGAGGAUGAACACCCCUCCUCUCUCCAGCAUCCCUUACGGCAUCCGCCCGGAAGCUCUCCACUCCCCCCGAGCUGCUCUGCAACCCCAGAUAGAGAUCAAACCUCAGCAGUCCAGCACGCCCCAGCCAGCUCCCAUGCGGGACAUAGUCAUGCCUCCUCUGUCUUCUCAGCAUCCCCCCGAGGAGGAGAUGCACUACCACCACACCACGGUGUGCCGAGGCCCGGCCCAGGUUCAGUCCGACGUGCUGGUGAUGCAGCCGGAUUACCGCAUGCACCCCUCGAGCAUCAGGCUGGACCAGUACAACGUGCCGCGGGACGUCCGGAUGAUCAUGCACCCGCACAUGGCUGCCGUGGGCGAGCACCACUCGGAAUCCAGACAGUCCCGGACGCCCGAAGGGGCUGUGAAAACCCCUCCUGUCAGCAAGACCCCGCAGCCUGGAAAAGAGACGCCCAAAUCCUCCGAGGGCAAGAUGGCUCACUCUCCUCACAGCGAGCCGCGGCUCCUCAGCGUCCCUGCCAGCAGCCAGCUGCCUGGACUGCCUCUGACACAGCCCGUGGUGGUCCCACACGGGGUGCAGAUCAUGCACCCUGCAGGGAGCUCCUUUCAUGAUUACCGGUCUGUCUACGGCGACAUGAGGAAUUACCACACGGCGGCACAGCUUGGGCACCCCCAGUUCCCAGGUGCCUCGCCGAUUGGGCUGCCUUCCCGGAGCAUGACCCCGUCUCAGGGUCUGCCGGAGAGCGAGCACUCGCACAGCAGCCAGCCGGUGCGCAGCAAGACUCCUCAGAUCCCGCAGGAUCCCAAGGGCCCGGCGGCAGCAGGACCCGAGCAGAGUCACCACCCCACUGUAAAUAGGCAUGCGGCACAGAUAGAGCCUCACGUCCACCUUCAGAGGGCGCAGGCAGACACAGGCCAGACCUCCUACCCUUCGCCCGUGGCCAUUUCGAUGAAACAGGAGCUUCCCUCACCGCACCAGCCGCAGGCUGUUCCCAAGCAGUCCAUGUUUAUCCCCACCACAUCUGGGCCCGGGGCCCCGCCGGGGCUGCCCCUCAAUCGCCCUGAGCCCCAGUCUGCCCUCAAACAGGAGCCCUCUCCUCAUGCCGUAUCACAGAGACCUGUGGACAUGGUUCAGCUUCUGACGAAAUACCCCAUUGUCUGGCAGGGCCUUUUGGCUCUCAAAAACGACACUGCUGCUGUUCAGCUCCACUUUGUCUCCGGGAAUAACGUCCUGGCACACCGCUCGCUGCCCGCGCCCGAGGGAGGGCCCCCGCUGAGGAUCGCCCAGCGCAUGCGGCUGGAGGCUUCGCAGCUGGAGGGCGUCGCCCGCAGGAUGAUGGUGGAGAGUGAUUACUGCCUGCUGCUGGCCUUGCCCUGUGGCCGAGACCAGGAGGAUGUGGUCAGUCAGACAGAGUCGCUCAAGGCUGCGUUCAUCAGCUACCUGCAGGCCAAGCAAGCUGCAGGCAUCAUCAACGUCCCCAACCCCGGUUCUAACCAGCCUGCCUACGUUCUGCAGAUCUUCCCACCCUGCGAGUUCUCCGAGAGCCACCUGUCCCGCCUGGCCCCGGACCUCCUGGCCAGCAUCUCCAACAUCUCUCCUCACCUGAUGAUCGUCAUCGCCUCCGUAUGAGCCCCCUGGCCGCCUCCGGCGCUUGCUUUGUCUCUUACCAAGGCCCUGCAGCAAAAAAAAACCAACCCAACCAAACCCGAACCACCACCACCAAACCCCACGAAUGAAAACUACAGGCGAAGCUCCCGAUCCAAGUGACAAAGGAAUCAAACGAGAGAGAAGGAAACAAUAAAAAUGCUGCCAGACUGCAGCCUCCUGCCCUGCCCUGCCCGCGGCCGGGCGGCGGUGCGGCUGCCUCGGAUGUUUACAUUGCUUUAGCUUACGGACACCUGAGGAGGAUGCACUCAGCGGGCGUGGACUGGGCUGGGCUUUCCGUGCCUCCUUUUUGGGGAAAAACAAAAACAAAAACAAAAAAAGACAAAAAAAAAGACAAACAAAAAAAAGCAGAAGAAGAGAGGAGGGCUUAUUUUUUGUAACAAAAAACAGAGAAAAAGGAAAAAAAAAAAAAAGAUAAAGACAAAAAAAAACCCAACCCAACAACAACAACAACCAAACCACACCAACCAACCGCAAAAGAACCUGAACUGCCUUUGCACUAAGCGAGCGACUGGGACCUUUGCGCAGCGGGGGACAGGCUGUGACGCUCCGCGCAGCCCACACCCGCGGGCAGGCGCCGCGCCCCGGGACUGCCGCGCAACACUCUCUGGCUCCAGGAGCAUCUCACACCUCGGGUUGGGAUUUUUUCUUACAAUGGUUUCAUUAUUUUUUGCUGGACGUGACCCUUCCUCUCCUCCACUCGCCCCUGCUGCAGACGUCUUCUCUUCAUCUGGGAUGUACAGUUUACACUGAAAAAAAAAACCAGCCCCAACAAACCAACCACCACCACCAAAAACCCCACAAAACAAAGGAAAAAAAAAAAAAGAGAGAGAAAAUACAAAAAAAAAAAAAAAAAAAAAAAGAAAAGAAAAGAAAAAAAAAAGUUUAAAUUACAAAAGGGAGAACUAUUUUCCUUCCUGGUGGGAUAUGCAGAACUCAGCGGGUGUGUGUAUAUAUAAAUAUAUAUAUAAUAUAUAUAAAUAUAUAUAAUACUGACUUUAAAAAAAAGAAAAAAAAGAAAAAAAAAACCACGAGGAAAAAAAAAAACAACAAACAACCAACAACAACAAAAAAAAAUCACAAAAACAGAGGAAAAAAAAAUUCAGCUCUCCCCUCCUUCUCCCCUCCCCCCCACGACAUACAUUUUUUUUUAAAAUCUGUGCCAAAAAAAAAAAAAAAAAAAAAAAAGGAAAAGGAAAAAAAAAAGAAAAAAGAAAAAAAAAAAAAAGAUGUGUUUUCAGAGAAAAAAAAUCUUAUUUUCAUACUCAGACUUUGUAUUUGUCACUCAUUUGUAAGUGCUCUUCAUCCCCGACGCCCUCCCUCUCGCCAGCCGUCGAAGUGUUUUAUUUACACUUGUACAAAACCCUCCCUCUGGGCCUCCCCCUCCUCGCCCUUCCCCUCCCCCCAAGCCCUCCCUAACACUUAUUAAUUUAUGGAACUGGUUUUGUUUUGGUUUGGUUUUGGUUUCUUUUUGGUUUUUGUUUUGUUUUGUUUUUUUUUGUUUGGUUCGUUUCGUUUUGUUUUCUCAGCGCAGUUUUGUUUUGUGUGUCCAUUGGAUUACAAACUUUAUUAAAAAAUACAAAACAAAACCUC